GACGAACGCUGGCGGCGUGCUUCACACAUGCAAGUCGAACGAUGAAGCCGGAGCUCGCUCUGGUGAAUUAGUGGCGAACGGGUGAGUAACACGUGAGUAACCUGCCCGUGACUCUGGGCUAACUGCGGGAAACUGUAACUAAUAACGGAUACGACCCUCGGAGGCAACUCCUGGUGGUGGAAAGAAUUUCGGUCAAGGAAGGUCCCGCGGCCUAUCAGCUUGUUGGUGAGGGCGUGGCUCACCAAGGCGACGACGGGUAGCCGGCCUGAGAGGGCGACCGGCCACACUGGGACUGAGCCACGGCACAGGCUCCUACGGGAGGCAGCAGUGGGGAAAAUUGCGCAAUGGGCGAAAGCCUGGCGCAGCAACGCCGCGUGCGGGAUGAAGGCCUUCGGGUUGUAAACCGCUUUCAGCAGGGAAGAAGCGAAAGUGACGGUACCUGCAGAAGAAGCACCGGCUAACUACGUGCCAGCCGCCGCAGUAA
rnacentral:rRNA from 1 species